UCCUCCAGGUGUCACGACUUCGUCCACGACUUCGUCCACGAUCGCAGAGACAUGGUCCAUGAUCGGAGAGACAUUGUUGAGGAUGAGGGAGACAUCGUCCUCGAUCAGAGACAUUGUCCACGAUCACAGAGACCUUGUCAAAGAUGAGAGAGAUGUUGUCUGUGAUCAGAGACAUUGUCCCAUGCUUCGUAGAGACCUUGCGAUAGAAUCGGCGGAGACGGGGGUCACCGAUUUGACGGCAUUGCCCGCGAUCAUGGAGACAUUGUUGAAGCUCACAGAGACGGCGUCUAUGAUCUCAGAGACAUCGUCCAUGAUCGCAAAGACAUUGGCCAUGAUCACAGAGACUUUGUCCAUAAUCUCAGAGACAUUGUCCGCGAUCACAGAGACGUAGUCCAUGAUCACAGAGAGUCUUUGUACAAUGAAGAAGUUCUUUGAGACCAGGACAGAGGCCUCCAGGUGUCACGACUUCGUCCACGACUUCGUCCACGAUCGCAGAGACAUGGUCCAUGAUCGGAGAGACAUUGUUGAGGAUGAGGGAGACAUCGUCCUCGAUCAGAGACAUUGUCCACGAUCACAGAGACCUUGUCAAAGAUGAGAGAGAUGUUGUCUGUGAUCGGAGACAUUGUCCCAUGCUUCGUAGAGACCUUGCGAUAGAAUCGGCGGAGACGGGGGUCACCGAUUUGACGGCAUUGCCCGCGAUCAUGGAGACAUUGUUGAAGCUCACAGAGACGGCGUCUAUGAUCUCAGAGACAUCGUCCAUGAUCGCAAAGACAUUGGCCAUGAUCACAGAGACUUUGUCCAUAAUCUCAGAGACAUUGUCCGCGAUCACAGAGACGUAGUCCAUGAUCACAGAGAGUCUUUGUACAAUGAAGAAGUUCUUUGAGACCAGGACAGAGGCCUCCAGGUGUCACGACUUCGUCCACGACUUCGUCCACGAUCGCAGAGACAUGGUCCAUGAUCGGAGAGACAUUGUUGAGGAUGAGGGAGACAUCGUCCUCGAUCAGAGACAUUGUCCACGAUCACAGAGACCUUGUCAAAGAUGAGAGAGAUGUUGUCUGUGAUCGGAGACAUUGUCCCAUGCUUCGUAGAGACCUUGCGAUAGAAUCGGCGGAGACGGGGGUCACCGAUUUGACGGCAUUGCCCGCGAUCAUGGAGACAUUGUUGAAGCUCACAGAGACGGCGUCUAUGAUCUCAGAGACAUCGUCCAUGAUCGCAAAGACAUUGGCCAUGAUCACAGAGACUUUGUCCAUAAUCUCAGAGACAUUGUCCGCGAUCACAGAGACGUAGUCCAUGAUCACAGAGAGUCUUUGUACAAUGAAGAAGUUCUUUGAGACCAGGACAGAGGCCUCCAGGUGUCACGACUUCGUCCACGACUUCGUCCACGAUCGCAGAGACAUGGUCCAUGAUCGGAGAGACAUUGUUGAGGAUGAGGGAGACAUCGUCCUCGAUCAGAGACAUUGUCCACGAUCACAGAGACCUUGUCAAAGAUGAGAGAGAUGUUGUCUGUGAUCGGAGACAUUGUCCCA